rnacentral:tRNA from 1 species
AUCGUAUAUAGUUUAUAAAAAAUGUUGAUUUUGUAAAUCAAAAAAGCUUUGUGGGGCUAUCGGUA